rnacentral:rRNA from 1 species
AUGAAAUAUUCAAUAGCCGCAGAAAUUCUGUGCUAAGGUAGCAUAAUCAUUUGCUUUCUAAUUAAAAGCUAGAAUGAAAGGUUAAACGUUUUAAUUUCUUUAUUAACUAUAUUAAUUAAAUUUAUAUUAAAUAUAAAAAUAUAUUUAUAAAAAAAAUAGACGACAAGACCCUAUUGAACUUAACUUAAGUUAAGCUGGGGCAGCUUACUAAUUAAAAUUUUAUCUAAUAUAUUUUAUAAAUAUCCAAUAAAAAUGAUUAACUAAUCAAGUUACCAUAGGGAUAACAGCGUAAUAUUUAUUUAAAGCUCAUAUUUAAAUAAAAGUUUGCGACCUCGAUGUUGAAUUAUAAUUCUUUAUUAAAUGCAAUAGUUAUAAAAGUGGGUCUGUUCGACCCUUAAUAUUUUACA